AAGGGAGUUUCCUGCCAGGAUGGGCACAAGAAGAGCGCGAGUGGAGGAAGAGGAGGAUGAGGAGCUUCGGCCCUGACCCAGCUCAGUCUCCUCACCAGAGUCCCGGCCCGUUCCGACGGGCUUCCUGCACGGCUUGAGCAUGGAGACGUGUCACAUCCCAGCGCCGCGAGGCCCCUCGCUCCGGGCUCCCGUCGGCCUCAGCAACACUCUGUGAGGAAGAGGAGGAGGAAGCCUGACCCCGCUCCAGAGGCGAUUCCUACCCCGUAGGAAGGA